UACGUAGGGGGCAAGCGUUGUCCGGAAUCAUUGGGCGUAAAGCGCGUGUAGGCGGUUCAGUAAGUCUGCUGUGAAAGUCCAGGCUCAACCCUGGGAUGCCGGUGGAUACUGUCGGACUAGAGUACGGAAGAGGCGAGUGGAAUUCCCGGUGUAGCGGUGAAAUGCGCAGAUAUCGGGAGGAACACCAAUUGCGAAGGCAGCUCGCUGGGACGUCACUGACGCUGAGACGCGAAAGCGUGGGGAGCAAACAGG
rnacentral:rRNA from 1 species